rnacentral:rRNA from 1 species
GACGAACGCUGGCGGCGUGCUUAACACAUGCAAGUCGAACGGAAAGGCCCUGCUUUUGUGGGGUGCUCGAGUGGCGAACGGGUGAGUAACACGUGAGUAACCUGCCCUUGACUUUGGGAUAACUUCAGGAAACUGGGGCUAAUACCGGAUAGGAGCUCCUGCUGCAUGGUGGGGGUUGGAAAGUUUCGGCGGUUGGGGAUGGACUCGCGGCUUAUCAGCUUGUUGGUGGGGUAGUGGCUUACCCAGGCUUUGACGGGUAGCCGGCCUGAGAGGGUGACCGGCGACAUUGGGACUGAGAGACGGACCAGACUCCUACGGGAGGCAGCAGUGGGGAAUAUUGCACAAUGGGCGGAAGCCUGAUGCAGCAACGCCGCGUGCGGGAUGACGGCCUUCGGGUUGUAAACCGCUUUCGCCUGUGACGAAGCGUGAGUGACGGUAAUGGGUAAAGAAGCACCGGCUAACUACGUG